CUUGGCAAUUUUAGAGACGGGGGUACACCUGUUCCCAUCCCGAACACAGCAGUUAAGCUCGUCUUCGCCGAUGUUACUAUGGUUUGUCCAUGGGAAAGUAGGACGUUGCCAAGA
rfam:Candidatus Peregrinibacteria bacterium RIFCSPLOWO2_02_FTLL_39_10 rifcsplowo2_02_scaffold_8636, whole genome shotgun sequence.